UACGUAGGCAGCAAGCGUUGUUCGGAGUUACUGGGCGUAAAGGGUGUGUAGGCGGUUGUUUAAGUUUGGUGUGAAAUCUCCCGGCUCAACUCGGGAGGGUGCGCCGAAUACUGAAUGACUCGAGUGCGGGAGAGGUGAGUGGAAUUCCUGGUGUAGCGGUGAAAUGCGUAGAUAUCAGGAAGAACACCAAUGGCGAAGGCAGCUCUCUGGGACGGUACUGACGACUGAGACGCGAAAGCGUGGGGAGCGAACAGG
rnacentral:rRNA from 1 species